ACACAUGCAAGUCGAACGGUAACAGGAAGCAGCUUGCUGCUUCGCUGACGAGUGGCGGACGGGUGAGUAAUGUCUGGGAAACUGCCUGAUGGAGGGGGAUAACUACUGGAAACGGUAGCUAAUACCGCAUAACGUCGCAAGACCAAAGAGGGGGACCUUCGGGCCUCUUGCCAUCGGAUGUGCCCAGAUGGGAUUAGCUAGUAGGUGGGGUAACGGCUCACCUAGGCGACGAUCCCUAGCUGGUCUGAGAGGAUGACCAGCCACACUGGAACUGAGACACGGUCCAGACUCCUACGGGAGGCAGCAGUGGGGAAUAUUGCACAAUGGGCGCAAGCCUGAUGCAGCCAUGCCGCGUGUAUGAAGAAGGCCUUCGGGUUGUAAAGUACUUUCAGCGGGGAGGAAGGCGAUAAGGUUAAUAACCUCGUCGAUUGACGUUACCCGCAGAAGAAGCACCGGCUAACUCCGUGCCAGCAGCCGCGGUAAUACGGAGGGUGCAAGCGUUAAUCGGAAUUACUGGGCGUAAAGCGCACGCAGGCGGUCUGUCAAGUCGGAUGUGAAAUCCCCGGGCUCAACCUGGGAACUGCAUUCGAAACUGGCAGGCUAGAGUCUUGUAGAGGGGGGUAGAAUUCCAGGUGUAGCGGUGAAAUGCGUAGAGAUCUGGAGGAAUACCGGUGGCGAAGGCGGCCCCCUGGACAAAGACUGACGCUCAGGUGCGAAA
rnacentral:rRNA from 1 species